AAGUGGUAGUCAGGUAUAUGUGAGUUCUGCUUUCUUUGCCUGAAUGCCCUGGCCUCCAAAAACUAGUGUUUAGUAUCCUUUAUUCAUAAGACAUGCACUCACUAGGACAGUGUGAUUAAAAAAUGAAUGAAACGGACAGUAAUCAAGAGCUCAGACCAGUUUGGAUAGAGGAGCACGUUCUCCCUAACACAGGACAUUGUAACUAGCAAUUGGUGCUUUAAUAAUGGAGGUAUAGUCCAAUGGGCCCGAUUGUUCUGACUAGGAGGCCUGAUGCGGACAGGCCUCACUGCAGAGGCAGUGGACAGGAGAGCGGACGACAGGGAGGAGUCAAGGGCAUUCAAGGGAGGGGCGGAAGAGCAGGUGGGAAGGUGAGAACCUUCCAAACCCUUCAAGGGCCAGCCCAAAGCCAGGGAGAAUGAGCCUCCCAGAUCCCUGCAACUUGAGUCAUCCCUCUCAGACGGCUCACUCUUUGCGGGAGUCCAGUGUCUGUGUGAGCAUUGUUUCUCCAGCACCAGACAGCAAGAUCCUGGAGGGAUCCAGCACCCACACCCAGCUCUGGCCCCCAGGAUCACACCACGGUGGUUAUGUUUAUUUGCAGAAGGAAUGUGUGAAGGAAUAAAUGACUGACCUGAGUCUUUUGCUACCUAGGACAAGACAGCAGAGUGGAGACCAGGCCCCUGAUGAGGCUGGUCACAGGACUGUCCCAUUCUCUUUCCUAAUUUUAGCUUUAUUCACAAACAACCCUGUUGUCAGGAGUUGUUUCUGAGAAGGGAGCUUCCUGACAGUAGUCAAGUGUAUCCUGGACACUGGGAAAACGUAUCUUCGUCUGCAAAUAAAACAGCUAAAAUUCCCUAGAAUAUGUUACUGCGCAGAAAGGGUUCACCAUCCGGAUUCUUUAGUAAAGCAGCCUAACAGCUGUAGCAAUACCCUCCUUGCUAACUUAAAGGUAAAAGACUAUAUUUCCCAGAAGCCUUUGCUCUAAGGACUGGCCAAUGAGACGUGAGCAGAGUAACAAAGAAGGACUUCCGGAAGUCCGUUUAAACCGAGAGGACGCCGCCGGAGGUGCCCGCCCCUCUCUGCGGCCGUCACCCUUGUCUGGGAAGGCGGCUAGAAGGAAGGAAAUCCCGUUGCUAUGUUGUUGUUUUGAGUGUGGUGAUGGUUGCCUCGUCCAUUCUUCACACAAGCUAGCAGACUCCUGCUUGGAGCACAGUUUCUUGGACUUGGCUACUCUUUCUCUGUCUAGGCUCCCUUCAGCCUAUCCAAGCAUCCUUGCUCGCUCUGAGACUCCUUAGCCCAGGGCCUCUCUCCAGGCCCCUGAAAGCUAAUACUACAAGAG
rnacentral:lncRNA from 1 species